rnacentral:lncRNA from 1 species
UCUAGACUCACUUGGGAAGGGUACUUCCAAUCAGCUCAACACAGGCCUACACAUACACUUCUUCCGGGGACGUCAAUCCUUCUUCACCUUUACUUUCAUCCCACCUUCUAGGGGCUCCUCAUCCCACUCCUCCAUGUCUGGAACCAUGGCUAUGAGUCCCCUGUGGCACCCUGCGUGUCCUACUCUUUAAUAACAGCUGAGCUUUUAUAUCAGCUCCAGCAUGCAGGUAUGGGAUACUCUGGCUCCAUCCCAGAGCAAGUCUUUCCUAGACCCACACCUACCAAAAGAGGCAACGGUAUCCACGUAAGCCUUAUAGAUUCCACUGAAGCUCCAAAGCAUCCUGGAUGCCAAGACGUCUGGAAGCAGAAGUACAAAGACAGCACUUGGGGACCCUCAAAAUGACCACACAAAGGAGAGCCUGCCUUCGUGGUCUUUCCCCUCGGAAGCACUCACUAAAGAACAACACAGUAGAGGUCUCCUCAAGAGGACAGUGCCGUGUUAAAUAACAGGAUAGUAAGAUAUUGGCAGACAAACCACCUAGGAUGUCAGAACAGCAUGGAAGAUUUCAGUCCAUGAGGUUACCCUGUAGUGAGACAGCACUUUGUUGCAAUGUACAUAGUCGGGAUCCAAUUCAAGGCUUCAUGGAAAGGAAGAGAGGAAGAGUCAAGGACUCUAUAAUAUGCUACAGUGAUGCAUCUGUUGUGACCCGAGACUUCAUGUUAAGUGGCCUCUUCAGAGUUUCUACUGCCUUCAAACACCUCCAUGAGCUGGAAAUCGUUAUAUUUACCGAAGGAAACGCUCAUUUUUGACGGCAAACAUGGAGAAACGGAGCAAAUGACUUCCAAGGCUGCCUGAGGAAGAUUAGUCAAGUACACAUAAGUCCCAAAGAAAGGUCAUUGCUCUGGAUUGGCUUCAGCCAAGGAGAGACCAGGAUGGUCAAAGGCAGAGGCUGGGAACAGAAGGCCCUCCUUCAGUCUGAAAGAGACAGCUGAGGGUAUAGUAUCAGCCUGGCAGCCUCCUGCCCUUGUUCAUACACAGUGUGAGGAUAUGGUGCUGUGGGCUGAGGUAGCCAUUUUGCAAACAUGAGAUGGUGAGUGUGAAGAAUAGGAGGUCACAACGAACACAGAGAGAAACCCUGGCUCCACCGGGAUUCAACUGGUCAGUUCGACCAACACCAGCCUCUACCUAUGUCUGUACUUUUAAGGGCCAGGAGGACACUCCUGUUUCCUCAACAAAAACAGCUGGGAUCACCAGAGGACACUCCUUGCAAAGAUCCAGCUGGCCUCCAUCAACAUAUCACCUGAUCCUGUGUCCCUUUCAGGAGCGAUGACCAUCUCCCCCACAGUAACAAUUACCCUGGAGCUGAGCUUGUGAGGAGGGCAAGCAGAAUCCUCGUGACAGAGGAGAAUUAUUCAGACUGCAGAACAGCGUGCAACGAUGACCCUGAUGAAGGGCGGUGAAUGUUACUUUCCUUCUCUCUAGAGGACAUCACAGGACUCAGUGGUUGAAACAUUCCAUCCUGGAGGAAGGAAGAUGGCUCAUCGGACUCUGAAGGAAGUUCAUAUGAGCGGAAAAUAAUCAUCAGAGGUGUGAGACUCCUGGCUAAUGUGGCUGUUG